rnacentral:rRNA from 1 species
AUUCCAGCUCCAAUAGCGUAUAUUAAAGUUGUUGCGGUUAAAAAGCUCGUAGUUGGAUUUCUGCUGAGGAUGACUGGUCCGCCCCCUGGGUGAGUAUCUAGGCUAUCCUUGGCAUCUUCCUGAAGAACGUAGCUGCACUUGACUGUGUGGUGCGGUAUUUAGGACAUUUACUUUGAGGAAAUUAGAGUGUUUCAAGCAAGCGCACGCCUUGAAUACAUUAGCAUGGAAUAAUAAGAUAGGACCUCGGUUCUAUUUUGUUGGUUUCUAGAGCUGAGGUAAUGAUUAACAGGGACAGUUGGGGCCGUUUAUAUUUCGUUGUCAGAGGUGAAAUUCUUGGAUUUACGAAAGACAAACUUCUGCGAAAGCAUUCAUCAGGGAUGUUUUCAUUA